rnacentral:rRNA from 1 species
ACGUAGGGGGCGAGCGUUGUCCGGAAUUACUGGGCGUAAGGAGCACGUAGGUGGACCAUUAAGUCAGGUGUGAAAGACCGGGGCUCAACUCCGGGGUUGCACUUGAAACUGGUGGUCUUGAGGGCAGGAGAGGAAAGUAGAAUUCCUGGUGUAGCGGUGAAAUGCGUAGAAAUCAGGAGGAAUACCAGUGGCGAAGGCGGCUUUCUGGACUGUCCCUGACACUGAGGUGCGAAAGCGUGGGGAGCAAACAG